rnacentral:rRNA from 1 species
UUGAACGCUGGCGGCAGGCCUAACACAUGCAAGUCGAACGGUAACAGGAAGAAGCUUGCUUCUUUGCUGACGCGUGGCGGACGGGUGAGUAAUGUCUGGGAAACUGCCUGAUGGAGGGGGAUAACUACUGGAAACGGUAGCUAAUACCGCAUAAUGUCGCAAGACCAAAGAGGGGGACCUUCGGGCCUCUUGCCAUCGGAUGUGCCCAGAUGGGAUUAGCUAGUAGGUGGGGUAACGGCUCACCUAGGCGACGAUCCCUAGCUGGUCUGAGAGGAUGACCAGCCACACUGGAACUGAGACACGGUCCAGACUCCUACGGGAGGCAGCAGUGGGGAAUAUUGCACAAAGGGCGCAAGCCUGAUGCAGCUAUGCCGCGUGUAUGAAGAAGGCCUUCGGGUUGUAAAGUACUUUCAGCGGGGAGGAAGGGAGUAAAGUUAAUACCUUUGCUCAUUGACGUUACCCGCAGAAGAAGCACCGGCUAACUCCGUG